GUCAUUGUAGCCUCCAGUAUAGCCACCUGCUCCCGAACCGCUGCUGGCAUACCCACCUGCAUAGCCGCCGGCAUAGCCACGACGCCUGCGAGACACCGGACGACCUGCCAAAGAGAAUAACCGGAGUCCGGUUAGAAGUGCAUUUCGUUGGUUCUUACUGGAAGAAAGAAAGAAAAAGAAGGCAUUAGUUAAAAUGAUUUCGAGAAGAAACUGGUCUUAGAAUAGUUGUAAGUAAUCCGGUUUGCCGCUGUAGAUGUUGGUCUUAAAUUUGAUGAUGCCGUGUAAAUUACAAUAUUUGAUUUUCAUCAGCUGUUUACACUAACUGCUAACUGUAGUCACUAAGUAUUGUACUAAGCCCAGAUUUAUGCAAAUCACGCUAGGAAACAACUAGAAAACUAAUAGAAAGCUAAUGCAAAAUAGCCCAAUGCACUGCAUGUAAUUAAUCUUGCUCGGAUGGAGCCUCCCCCGAAACCGGAGAUACUUGUAAGCCCAUCACGAGUCCAAAUCAAGCCGACAAUUAUUUGAUAAAAAUCCGAUCAUAAAUUGUGUAUGAAGUCCAUUUAAUUACAAUUGCACGACUUUUCAAUUAUGGAUUGGCGCAAAUAUAAUAGAGAAGCGAUUGGCAAUUCGACGGAGCGGCAGAUGAACCGUAAACUGAGAAAAUAACCAAAUCGAAAACGGAAAUCCCCGAAAUGUGAAUUAAUGGAUUUGUAUAUAUGACUGUGUAUAUCUUUCGGUUCGGUUUGCUUGUCCAGAGAUUUCUAAACCGGUUUGGCUAAUUGGUUGCUCUUUUUUUGUUUUUUUUUUAGCAAUUAAUAAAA